rnacentral:rRNA from 1 species
GAUUAUGGCUCAGGAUGAACGCUAGCGGCAGGCUUAACACAUGCAAGGUCGAGGGGCAUCGGGAGUAGCAAUACUGCCGGCGACCGGCGCAAGGGUGCGUAACGCGUGAGCAACAUGCCCGUAUCAGGGGGGAUAAUCCAUGGAAACGUGGUCUAAUACCCCAUAGUAAUUAUGUAAGGCAUCUUAUAUAAUUUAAAGCUUUGGUGGAUACGGAUUGGCUCGCGUGACAUUAGCUAGAUGGUAAGGUAACGGCUUACCAUGGCUACGAUGUCUAGGGGUUCUGAGAGGAAGGUCCCCCACACUGGAACUGAGACACGGUCCAGACUCCUACGGGAGGCAGCAGUGAGGAAUAUUGGACAAUGGAUGGAAAUCUGAUCCAGCCAUGCCGCGUGCAGGAAGACGGCCCUAUGGGUUGUAAACUGCUUUUGUAUGGGAGCAAUAAGGGCUACGCGUAGUCCGAUGAGAGUACCAUACGAAUAAGCACCGGCUAACUCCGUGCCAGCCGCCGC